UGGAAAAGUAUUUCUAGUUCGUAAAAUAAGUGGUCAUGAUGCUGGAAAGUUGUAUGCCAUGAAAGUUUUGAAAAAGGCAACAAUUGUUCAGAAGGCCAAAACCACAGAGCAUACGAGGACAGAGCGACAAGUCCUGGAGCACAUUAGGCAGUCACCAUUUUUGGUGACAUUGCACUACGCCUUCCAGACAGAAACCAAACUUCAUCUCAUCUUAGAUUAUAUAAAUGGUGGAGAACUUUUUACUCAUCUUUCUCAAAGAGAGCGUUUCACAGAGCACGAGGUGCAGAUCUAUGUUGGAGAGAUUGUGCUUGCCCUCGAACAUCUGCACAAGUUGGGAAUUAUAUACCGUGACAUUAAGCUUGAGAAUAUUCUACUUGAUUCUAAUGGCCAUGUGGUGCUGACAGAUUUUGGUCUGAGUAAGGAGUUUGUGGCUGAUGAAACUGAAAGAGCAUAUUCCUUUUGUGGAACUAUCGAAUACAUGGCACCAGAUAUUGUCAGAGGGGGAGAUUCGGGACAUGACAAGGCAGUUGAUUGGUGGAGUUUAGGUGUUCUAAUGUACGAGUUACUAACCGGAGCAUCUCCUUUCACUGUUGAUGGAGAAAAAAAUUCCCAAGCUGAGAUAUCUAGGAGAAUAUUAAAAAGUGAGCCUCCAUACCCCCAAGACAUGAGUGCAUUAGCUAAAGACCUGAUUCAGUGUCUGCUGAUGAAAGAUCCCAAGAAGAGGCUGGGAUGUGGCCCACGGGAUGCAGAUGAAAUUAAAGAACAUCUCUUCUUUCAGAAAAUAAAUUGGGAUGACUUAGCUGCCAAAAAAGUCCCGGCACCAUUUAAACCAGUCAUCCGAGAUGAACUGGAUGUGAGUAAUUUUGCUGAGGAGUUCACAGAGAUGGACCCCACCUAUUCUCCUGCAGCCCUGCCCCAGAGCUCCGAGAGGUUGUUCCAGGGCUAUUCUUUUGUUGCUCCUUCUAUCCUAUUCAAGCGUAAUGCAGCUGUGAUCGAUCCUCUUCAGUUUCACAUGGGAGUGGAACGCCCUGGGGUGACACAUGUGGCCAGGAGUGCCAUGAUGAAGGACUCUCCAUUCUAUCAACACUAUGACUUAGAUCUGAAGGACAAACCACUAGGAGAAGGAAGUUUUUCAAUUUGUCGAAAGUGUAUACACAAAAAAAGUAACCAAGCAUUUGCAGUGAAAAUAAUCAGCAAAAGGAUGGAAGCCAAUACUCAGAAAGAAAUAACAGCUCUGAAACUCUGUGAAGGACACCCCAAUAUCGUGAAAUUACAUGAAGUUUUUCAUGAUCAGCUUCAUACAUUUCUGGUGAUGGAACUCCUGAAUGGAGGAGAGCUGUUUGAACGUAUCAAGAAAAAGAAACACUUCAGUGAGACGGAAGCCAGCUACAUCAUGCGGAAGCUCGUCUCGGCCGUCAGCCACAUGCAUGAUGUCGGAGUGGUGCACAGAGAUCUCAAACCCGAGAAUUUAUUGUUCACUGAUGAAAAUGACAACUUGGAAAUUAAAGUAAUUGAUUUUGGGUUUGCGCGCCUCAAGCCCCCUGACAAUCAGCCUCUGAAGACCCCAUGCUUUACCCUUCAUUACGCAGCCCCAGAACUCUUGAAUCAUAACGGCUAUGAUGAGUCCUGUGACCUGUGGAGCUUGGGCGUCAUCUUGUACACAAUGUUGUCAGGGCAGGUUCCAUUCCAGUCUCAUGACAGAAGCUUGACGUGCACUAGUGCAGCGGAAAUCAUGAAGAAAAUUAAAAAGGGAGAUUUCUCCUUUGAAGGGGAAGCCUGGAAGAAUGUAUCCCAAGAGGCUAAAGAUUUGAUCCAAGGACUUCUCACAGUUGAUCCAAAUAAAAGGCUUAAAAUGUCUGGCUUGAGAUACAAUGAAUGGCUUCAAGAUGGCAGCCAGCUGUCCUCAAAUCCACUGAUGACUCCGGAUAUUCUGGGAUCUUCAGGAGCUGCUGUGCACACCUGUGUGAAAGCAACCUUCCAUGCCUUUAACAAAUACAAGAGAGAGGGGUUUUGCCUUCAGAAUGUCGAUAAGGCCCCUUUGGCUAAGAGAAGGAAAAUGAAGAAGACCAGUACUAGCACAGAGACGCGCAGCAGCUCCAGUGAGAGCUCACACUCUUCCUCCUCGCAUUCCCAUGGUAAAACCACACCUACCAAGGCGCUGCCCCCCAGCAAUCCUGCAGACAGCACCAACCCAGAAACCCUCUUCCAGUUCUCCGACUGAGCAGCAGAGCAAGAGUAGGAAUGUCAGCAGCGAUCCAUUGCACCUUUAUUUCCCUCAGCGUAUACCUGAGAUGAUAUUCUGUGCUAAAAAGAAAAAAAAAAGUGUCUCAUUGGUCUCAUUGGAACCUGCCUCUUCGUGAUUUUUUUUCAGGAAAACCUGUUGGUUAUCCUCAUCCAAGAGCACUGGACAGAGAAUGUUACGAGGCAGGCAGAGGAAGAGGAGGGAGCAAAGAUAAAGCCCUCAGGCACCCGAUGCACCAGCCUGAGCUAUCUCAGGUGGGCUUUGAAGAGACCCGAAAGGCACAGCCUUGCACUCUUCGCCAACAUCACAUCCUCACCGAUCCCUGCAUACCCACAAGCAGCCUUCAGUGCUACAUUGCAGCAGCUAAAUUGUGGGUAUUGCGCCUUAAAAUUUGUAGAGCUUUCCUUUGAUUACAUCAAAGCCGAACAAUAAAAAAUAUUUUCUAUAAAAAUAUUAAAUGAAAGGACUUUUGCUAUUAGGAAUAAAAUAGAUGCCAAAAACAAAUAUAUACAUUAAGUACUUUUUAUUGUAUUAAUUUGGGGAUAAUGCUGAAUCACCCACUCCCUUCUUCCCUGUUUAAUUGUAUGUAAUUUAUGCCAUCAUGAGUCCUGAAUCAUAUAUUUUCUAUAUACACCUAAUACAUUGAGAGGCAAGAGUAGGAAGAGAAAGUAAUAGACCACUACACUGGUGGAUUAGAACAUCAGUCUUCUGGACCAGGGAUUUAGCUCAGUGGUUCUGCCACCUGCCUUGCAAGGGCAAGGUCCUGAGUUCGAUCCCUGGUACCAAAAAAAAAAAAGGCACAUCAGUUUCCUGAGUUAAUUUCAACAUGAUUAUCUUUUCAUUCUGAUUAUUGCUGAUUUCUUACAUAAGAAUGUUAAUUCUUAUAAACAUAAGGUAAUUCUUUAAAUAUAAGGUAAAUUAUUU